rnacentral:lncRNA from 1 species
AAGGAGAGAAACUAAGCAAUUGGCCACAACAAAACUACUAGUAUUAAAUGCAGCUGCUAUCAUACAACAAAGUGAUUUAUGCUCUCAACUCUAGUUUGAGACCUAUAUGAUAGGGGAAUGUAGAGUAAAAAACUUUAACAGAAAAAAGAGAUUCCUUAAACUCUCAAACAUAUGCAGAGGUAGAGUUCACACAUUAGUGCAGUAAGAACAAUAAAAGUACUCUUGCCAAUAUUAUAGGUCAAUGGAUUGAGCAUAACAUGCCAAAAACCAAACCCACGACAAACAGCUAAACAAGCACAUGGAAGCUUUAUGUGAAGAGAAGAUGUGGCGCCCAACUGAACCAUCAUGACUUUUGGGACAAUUUUGAGCUGGCUGGCUGUUAGGGAAUGCUUGCACAGGCACAACCAUGCUGCAUUCUAUAAUAAAUGUCACAGGGUACGGUCAGAGUAUUAAGGUUUUUUUUAGGAUCUUGUUGUAAGUGAGAACAGAGAAUAAAACUUUUAUUUCACGGUUACUUUUUCAUAUAAGAAUACAUUCUCUGUAAAUAGUCUUACAAUAGACUUUCAAAUUCUACAUUCUCUCUCAUCAAAGCUAUACUAUAAAUUACAUUUAAAAUCACAAUAUAAAUGACAUUCAAAACUAUGAUUAAAGCUAAUAAUUAUUGAUCACUCAAAUUUUUAAAUAAAACUGAUGACGGUUUUGAGUUUAAUGCUAACAAAUUUCUCCCUUAAACUCAAACCUUUCAUAUUCUUCAUUCAAAUUGUUUUUCUGAUUGUCAUCACCCACAUUUCCAAUAUUUUCCCAACACUCACCACACUGUUCUGGAUUAGAAGCAACUUCAGUCUUCUUCACUGCACCAACCCAUGUAGAGUUCUGGAUUGAAAUACUUUUAGUCUCCCAAACAAAAUCUUUUGCAUUUUCACCCUCUGAAUUAAAAGGAUUUAAGAAAGACUGUGGCUUCAAUGAGCUUGGAACAUAAUGAUUAGACCAUAUAUCCUUUUCAGAUGAUGCCUUGACAGCAUCCCAUUUACUGUCUUUUCCCAAAUCAAAAUCAUUAUUUUCAAGUAAAACACAUGAACCAAAAGGGGCUUUUAAUUUGGAUUGUAGUUCAUUCACUUUUUCUUUUUGAGCCAAAAGGAACAAAUGAAGUUCUUCAACUUGAUUGACUCUACUUUCUUUGUCUUUCUCCAUAUCAACAUAUUUUUCUUCCAAUUUUGUAAACCUUUUUUUCCAGGUUAUCAAAUUUUGCUUCAACACUCUCCAAUUGAGAUACCAAGGCAUUCCUUUCAUUUAGAAGAUUGUGUUUUUCACUAGUUAGUAAAUUGCACAAUUCUUCCAAGCUACUUGAUUUUGUUCUUAAACCUUCAAGCUCAAUUUUUUCAUCACAAAGGGACUUCUCCGACAAUGUACUCUUUAAGUUGAGUUUGAACAUUCGAUUCUUUGCCAUCUCCACGUUUGCAAGUACUCGACCAUAUUUGUCCUUCAAGUGCAAAAUUCGGUCUUUCAUGAAAAUCUAAUAACCUUUCUCUAGUAGUUGUCCCAUACUAAGAAUAUUAUUCUUCAAAUUAGGUACAUAAUAAACAUCCUCCAUAGUGCCUUGUUUUCCAUCCUUUUGAGAAAAACACAUUUUUCCCCGGAACCUUUGUUGAGUCUCCAAAAAACACAUGUUCAUCUUUUAUCUCUUGUAUAUCGAGAAAGAGAUGUUUAUACCAUAGCACUAGUGUCGAGAUACCAUAUCAUGUCAAUAUCUAGAGUGACGUCUUCAUUGGCCAUCAUGAGAAUUCCUUCAUCUUUUGUCUCAUCUUCCUCCACUAAAUUUGCAUUUUCUUCCACUCUUUUCUUGGCAUAGCACUCCUUUGUCCAUAUUUGCCGCAAUUGUAACAUUCCACAUUUGAACGAUGUGAACGACCACCACGAUCACAAGCUCGUCCACGCCAAUUUUGUUGGUUCAUUUGUCCCCUCUCUUCAUUGUUAUUUCCAUGACCAUGACCUCCGUUGUGAUCAAAACCGCGACCUCCGCAUCCAUGUCCUCUUCCUCGGUUAUGUUGCAUGUACAUCACCUUGUCUUCUUUAAUGGUCAUCUUUGUUUGUAAGGCUUCCUCCAUGACUUCUUGUUUCUUUUUCUUCUUUCGUUGUUCAUGUGCAUCAAGAGAACCCGCGAGAUCAUCAAUGGUCAUCUCUUCCAAGUUUCUUGACUCCUGGAUUGCGCACACAACAUUUUCAAAGUCAUCGGUUUUCUCCACAACCCUUGCAUCCGUGAGAGUCUCUCCAUUGCGUUUUAGUUGAUUGGCUACCGUUUGCACACGAGUGAUGUAACUAGAUACAUCUUCCGAAUCCUUCAUCUUCAUGGCUUCCAACUCACCUCGUAGAGUUUGAAGACGUGUUUGUUUAACUCGGACUGCACCCUUGAACACCUUUUCCAAGAUGUCCCAUGCUUCCUUUGAAGUGGAUGCACCAGCAAUUAUCUCAAAAUUUGCCUCAUCAACAGCUUGAUACAACAUGUACAAAGUUGCCUUAUCUUUCGAUCGUGUCUCUUUCAACACUUUGUUUUGGGUCGCCGAGUAACCAGUAGUAUUUUCUGGUUCUUCAAACCCUUGUUGAACUACCUCCCAAAAAUCUUGAGAUCCCAUAAGGGCUUUCAUUUGGAUACUCCAAUUGUCAUAAUUGGUCAUCUUUGUUAAUUGAGGAAGGGACAUAUUAUUGGUUAUACUGGUCAUAGCUCUGAU